rnacentral:rRNA from 1 species
UACGAGGGGGGCAAGCGUUGUUCGGAAUUAUUGGGCGUAAAGGGCGCGUAGGCGGUGCGGUAAGUCUGAUGUGAAAUCUCCGGGCUCAACUCGGAGUCUGCAUCAGAAACUGCCGUGCUUGAGUGUGGGAGAGGUGAGUGGAAUUCCCGGUGUAGCGGUGAAAUGCGUAGAUAUCAGGAGGAACACCGAUGGCGAAAGCGGCUCACUGGACCACAACUGACGCUGAGGCGCGAAAGCUAGGGGAGCAAACAGG